rnacentral:tRNA from 1 species
CAAGGUAUAGCUAAACCAGAAAAGCAUCUCCCUUACACCGAGAAGUCGUCCGUGCAAGUCGGAUUACCUUGACACCCAA